rnacentral:misc_RNA from 1 species
AAGCAGGUGUGCAUUUUCUUUCUUGUUUCUUCUUUAUUCUUUGUUUGGUUGAUAAGAAAAAUAUAGAUUGUGUUCAUCUAUACUUGUCCGUUUUAGUGGUUUUUAUUUUUGUUUUUUCAUUUUUUAAUGAACAAUUAGUCGAGUAUUAUGGGUUUUGUUCCUUGAGUCCUAAUUUUAUGAAAUUAAAACCGUUGCAUUUCCAAGAAUCUCUGUAAUGGAUUUUCUUUUUGGUCCUCAAAAAAACAAAAAAUCUCUGAAAUGAUCCCUAUCUUUUUCAUCUUGGAGACGAUUCUAA